GACCUGGUAGCUCAGCAGGUAGAGCACCUGACUUUUAAUCAGGGGGUCGCGGGUUCGAAUCCCGCCCGGGUCA
rnacentral:tRNA from 1 species